rnacentral:rRNA from 1 species
CUGCGGAAGGAUCAUUAAUGAAUUCACUAUGGAGUUGUUGCUGGCCUCUAGGGGCAUGUGCACGCUUCACUAGUCUUUCAACCACCUGUGAACUUUUGAUAGAUCUGUGAAGUCGUCCUUCAAGUCGUCAGACUUGGUUUGCUGGGAUUUAAACGUCUCGGUGUGACAACGCAGUCUAUUUACUUAACACACCCCAAAUGUAUGUCUACGAAUGUCAUUUAAUGGGCCUUGUGCCUAUAAACCAUAAUACAACUUUCAACAACGGAUCUCUUGGCUCUCGCAUCGAUGAAGAACGCAGCGAAAUGCGAUAAGUAAUGUGAAUUGCAGAAUUCAGUGAAUCAUCGAAUCUUUGAACGCACCUUGCGCCCCUUGGUAUUCCGAGGGGCAUGCCUGUUUGAGUGUCAUUAAAUUCUCAAACUCACAUUUAUUUGUGAUGUUUGGAUUGUUGGGGGUUGCUGGCUGUAACAAGUCGGCUCCUCUUAAAUGCAUUAGCAGGACUUCUCAUUGCCUCUGCGCAUGAUGUGAUAAUUAUCACUCAUCAAUAGCACGCAUGAAUAGAGUCCAGCUCUCUAAUCGUCCGCAAGGACAAUUUGACAAUUUGACCUCAAAUCAGGUAGGACUACCCGCUGAACUUAAGCAUAUCAAUAAGCGGAGGA